rnacentral:rRNA from 1 species
CAGGUCUUGACAUCCUCUGACAAUCCUAGAGAUAGGACGUUCCCCUUCGGGGGACAGAGUGACAGGUGGUGCAUGGUUGUCGUCAGCUCGUGUCGUGAGAUGUUGGGUUAAGUCCCGCAACGAGCGCAACCCUUGUCCUUAGUUGCCAGCAUUUAGUUGGGCACUCUAAGGAGACUGCCGGUGACAAACCGGAGGAAGGUGGGGAUGACGUCAAAUCAUCAUGCCCCUUAUGACCUGGGCUACACACGUGCUACAAUGGAUGGUACAAAGGGUUGCGAGACCGCGAGGUUUAGCCAAUCCCAUAAAACCAUUCUCAGUUCGGAUUGUAGGCUGCAACUCGCCUACAUGAAGCCGGAAUCGCUAGUAAUCGUGGAUCAGCAUGCCACGGUGAAUACGUUCCC